rnacentral:rRNA from 1 species
GACGAACGCUGGCGGCGUGGAUUAGGCAUGCAAGUCGAACGGUAUCAUCCUUUCGGGGGUGAGAGAGUGGCGAACUGGUGAGUAACACGUAGGUUAUCUACCCUCAAGACGGGGACAACCCAGGGAAACUUGGGCUAAUACCGGAUGUGAGCAACUUUUAGUUGUUUGAAAGGUGGCGUAAGCUGUCGCUUGGGGAUGAGCCUGCGUCCUAUUAGUUAGUUGGUGAGGUAACGGCUCACCUAGGCAAUGAUAGGUAGGCGGCCUUAACGGGUGGUCGCCCACACUGGGAUUGAGAUACGGCCCAGACUCCUACGGGAGGCAGCAGUCGAGAAUAGUCUACAAUGGUCGGAAGACUGAUAGUGCGACGCCGCGUGAACGAUGAAUCCCUUCGGGGUUAAAGUUCUUUUAUAUGUGAGCAGUGCUUCUUAUAUUAACAGUAUGGGGAAGAGAUAUUAGCAUAUGAAUAAGCAACGGCUAACUCCGUGCCAGCAGCCGCGGUAAAACG